UGGGGAAUAUUGCACAAUGGAGGGAACUCUGAUGCAGCGACGCCGCGUGAGUGAUGAAGGACUUCGUUUCGUAAAACUCUGUUCUAUGGGAAGAAAAGGACUGUACCAUAGGAGAAAGCUCCGGCUAAAUACGUGCCAGCAACCGCGGUAAUACGUAUGGAGCGAGCGUUGUCCGGAAUUAUUGGGCGUAAAGGGUGCGCAGGCGGCUUUACAAGUUGGAUGUGAAAUAUUGUGGCUCAACCACAAACGUGCAUCCAAAACUGCAAAGCUUGAGUUAAGGAGAGGUAAGUGGAAUUCCUGGUGUAGCGGUGGAAUGCGUAGAUAUCAGGAGGAAUACCGGUGGCGAAGGCGACUUACUGGACUUAAACUGACGCUCAGGCACGAAAGCGUGGGGAGCAAACAGG
rnacentral:rRNA from 1 species